UACGUAGGUGGCAAGCGUUGUCCGGAAUUAUUGGGCGUAAAGCGCGCGCAGGCGGCCUUUUAAGUCUGAUGUGAAAGCCCACGGCUCAACCGUGGAAGGUCAUUGGAAACUGAAAGGCUUGAGUACAGAAGAGGAAAGCGGAAUUCCACGUGUAGCGGUGAAAUGCGUAGAGAUGUGGAGGAACACCAGUGGCGAAGGCGGCUUUCUGGUCUGUAACUGACGCUGAGGCGCGAAGGCGUGGGGAGCAAACAGG
rnacentral:rRNA from 1 species